UUCGCCCUUAGAGUUUGAUCCUGGCUCAGGACGAACGCUGGCGGCGUGCCUAACACAUGCAAGUCGAGCGAGUGGAGUUCUUCGGAACAAAGCUAGCGGCGGACGGGUGAGUAACACGUGGGCAACCUGCCUCAUAGAGGGGAAUAGCCUCCCGAAAGGGAGAUUAAUACCGCAUAAGAUUGUAGCUUCGCAUGAAGUAGCAAUUAAAGGAGUAAUCCGCUAUGAGAUGGGCCCGCGGCGCAUUAGCUAGUUGGUGAGGUAACGGCUCACCAAGGCGACGAUGCGUAGCCGACCUGAGAGGGUGAUCGGCCACAUUGGGACUGAGACACGGCCCAGACUCCUACGGGAGGCAGCAGUGGGGAAUAUUGCACAAUGGGGGAAACCCUGAUGCAGCAACGCCGCGUGAGUGAUGACGGCCUUCGGGUUGUAAAGCUCUGUCUUCAGGGACGAUAAUGACGGUACCUGAGGAGGAAGCCACGGCUAACUACGUGCCAGCAGCCGCGGUAAUACGUAGGUGGCGAGCGUUGUCCGGAUUUACUGGGCGUAAAGGGAGCGUAGGCGGACUUUUAAGUGAGAUGUGAAAUACCCGGGCUCAACUUGGGUGCUGCAUUUCAAACUGGAAGUCUAGAGUGCAGGAGAGGAGAAUGGAAUUCCUAGUGUAGCGGUGAAAUGCGUAGAGAUUAGGAAGAACACCAGUGGCGAAGGCGAUUCUCUGGACUGUAACUGACGCUGAGGCUCGAAAGCGUGGGGAGCAAACAGGAUUAGAUACCCUGGUAGGUCCACGCCGUAAACGAUGAAUACUAGGUGUAGGGGUUGUCAUGACCUUUGUGCCGCCGCUAACGCAUUAAGUAUUCCGCCUGGGGAGUACGGUCGCAAGAUUAAAACUCAAAGGAAUGGACGGGGGCCCGCACAAGCAGCGGAGCAUGUGGUUUAAUUUGAAGCAACGCGAAGAACCUUACCUAGACUUGACAUCUCCUGCAUUACCCUUAAUCGGGGAAGUUCCUUCGGGGACAGGAAGACAGGUGGUGCAUGGUUGUCGUCAGCUCGUGUCGUGAGAUGUUGGGUUAAGUCCCGCAACGAGCGCAACCCUUAUUGUUAGUUGCUACCAUUUAGUUGAGCACUCUAGCGAGACUGCCCGGGUUAACCGGGAGGAAGGUGGGGAUGACGUCAAAUCAUCAUGCCCCUUAUGUCUAGGGCUACACACGUGCUACAAUGGCAAGUACAAAGAGAAGCAAGACCGCGAGGUGGAGCAAAACUCAAAAACUUGUCUCAGUUCGGAUUGUAGGCUGAAACUCGCCUACAUGAAGCUGGAGUUGCUAGUAAUCGCGAAUCAGCAUGUCGCGGUGAAUACGUUCCCGGGCCUUGCACACACCGCCCGUCA
rnacentral:rRNA from 1 species